rnacentral:rRNA from 1 species
ACAACAGUUGGAAACGACUGCUAAUACCGCAUAAGCCCACGGCUCGGCAUCGAGCAGAGGGAAAAGGAGCAAUCCGCUUUGAGAUGGCCUCGCGUCCGAUUAGCUAGUUGGUGAGGUAACGGCCCACCAAGGCGACGAUCGGUAGCCGGACUGAGAGGUUGAACGGCCACAUUGGGACUGAGACACGGCCCAGACUCCUACGGGAGGCAGCAGUGGGGAAUAUUGCACAAUGGGGGAAACCCUGAUGCAGCGACGCCGCGUGGAGGAAGAAGGUCUUCGGAUUGUAAACUCCUGUUGUUGAGGAAGAUAAUGACGGUACUCAACAAGGAAGUGACGGCUAACUACGUGCCAGCAGCCGCGGUAAAACGUAGGUCACAAGCGUUGUCCGGAAUUACUGGGUGUAAAGGGAGCGCAGGCGGGAAGACAAGUUGGAAGUGAAAUCCAUGGGCUCAACCCAUGAACUGCUUUCAAAACUGUUUUUCUUGAGUAGUGCAGAGGUAGGCGGAAUUCCCGGUGUAGCGGUGGAAUGCGUAGAUAUCGGGAGGAACACCAGUGGCGAAGGCGGCCUACUGGGCACCAACUGACGCUGAGGCUCGAAAGUGUGGGUAGCAAACAGGAUUAGAUACCCUGGUAGUCCACACUGUAAAC